CUAAUGUGUGUAGCAAAGAUGUUGCAUUCGCUCAGAUGUCACCUAUGCUUCUGAUAACCUAUAUAAGGUUGGCCGCGCUGCAAGACAGGAUGUCGACAUGGAGAUGGAGUACUUUUCGGGACUCUCAGGUGCAGGAUAAAAGUUCGUGGCAACAGAAUUUGACAAAAAACUUAAAGAACUAUCAGAAAAAGAGACUGGUCUGAGUGGUGAUGAAAUUACUAUCCUCCUCCGUGUUUUAACAAGAGCCACACUUUCUAGAAAGCGUUUCCAGAAACUUCUGCAUUGUGUUGUGCCAGAGACAAUUGUGCAGAAAGAACACAUACAAACUGUUGUCAUCUGGAUGCUGAGGAGACACUUAUAUGAACCACCUAAAAAGUGUGUUGCUGUCCUCCAGUGGCUCAUUGCUUUGCUGGAGAAUGAGCUUGCAGACAGACAAGCGAUUGACAGCUUUUAUCAUCAAAUUUAUUUUCUAUCACUUCUUGAAAGUCUGGCACCGUGGGCUUCUAAAAUUGUAUAUACGUUGACUACACCAGAUGACGUUACAAGAGCGAGGGUUGUAACAUUAUUUAGAUGCAUCUUCAAGCAGACAGGAGCACCUCACACUGAAGCAAUACUGGGCUUAUUUAAGUCUCUCCGUCCAGAACUUGUCCCAGAAGAUAUUUCAACUGUAAAUACACAUACAGCCUUUGGAAGAAUACCUGCUACGCUGUCAGAGGCUGUAAAUAAGAGCAGGUGUUGCAGACCCAAGGCAAGAAGUUAAUCAUCAAACAGAUGCAGAACAUGUCACACUGUGCUCCUGCAUGAUCUGCUACUGCCAAUUUGCCCAUCUUGCCAAGGUGACAGUUGCUCAGGUGUUUGUGCUGUACUGGAUUUUCCUUAAAGAGGAUGGAAAGAUGUAGAACAAGAGCCACUUACAACUUGCUUUUAGCCACAAUUACCUUCAGUGAUUUCCUUUUAAAGGCAGUAGUUAUUGUUUUAAAUUAUAAAGUAAUGCACUAAUUAAGUUUUUUUUUUGUGUGUAGUAUAAACUCGUUUCACGGCUUUUUUCUCAUUUUUAAGUACCUUGGGAGUUUACAUAGAUACUGAAUGUGAUGUCUGAGGGUGAGAUGUUAUGCCUGUCUUUCCCUGUAGGCAUUGGUUUAUGUUCUCAGUGCAAUAAGAAAACCAGGAAAUAAGAAUUAUGAUGAUUUAGGUGAUGUUGUUAUGGGACAGUAUCUUUUUACAGAUACCGUGCCUCAUCCAUCAUUCAUAAAUUCACACACAUGCAACAUACCAUUUACUGCAUUUGUUUACAUUAAAUAAUAACAUAGAAUAAAGGUAUUGUGAUAGUAUUUCUUACCAAAUACUUUGGAUACAGUCAAAUAUGUUUUAUUUUAUAACAAUAACAAUUACAUCUGUACUUACAUUAAUCUAUUCUAUAGCUGCUUUCAGUAACACAGUUACGAUUUUACAUAACAAUUAUGCCUUCCAUUGUAUUUUUAUAAUAUUUUUUCACUCUGUAGCUGUAGCUGCUGAACAUGAGAAACGUAUGAAUAAAUUUAACAUUUUUGGAAUUUACUAUAGUUAUUAUUUGAAAGAGUAUUAUUACAAGAAAAAUAAUUGUUUAACUAUCUAGCUUGUCAUUAUAGAUCAUUUUUCUCCUGACUUUUUCUGGUGUACAAUCUGAUCCCUCUGUAGGAUCAUUGUAUGUGCUUUCUGAAUUGCAUGUGCAUUUAAAUAUGAAGUUAUGGGGAUGUUAAUUAAUAAACACAGACUCACAACAUAUGGGCAAUUUAUUCCUAAUAUAUCACUAAAACAGUUCAACAUAUAUACAUCAUCAUCAUGACAUUAAGAUAGUUCUUGAUAACUCUCAUUGUAUUCCUGUGUGAUAUACUUCACAUGGGUUUGCAACAUAGUCCAUGCUGUCAACCUAACCUAACCGUAACUUGACUGUAACUGAAAUUUCACUAAUUGUAACUGAUAUGCAGCUUACUUACAAAUGGAUCAUGUCCAGCUAUAUAUGUUUUCACCCCUUGGCAGGAAUGCCUCACUUAAUGGUUUUUUAGCCAAAUAAAAGUGGAUGCUACAAUAACUGAUCAUACAAAAAAGAGAAAUUGUUAAGGUAACCAGCUUGGAUUUUUAACACUAAAUACUUCAUGUACAUGAUGUUUUGUGUCCUUGUGUAUUACACAAACACAAGACAAUACUUCUUCAUAUUGUAAUGAUAGAUUCAAUAAAAAUUCCCUGGUGUCUAAGA